rnacentral:rRNA from 1 species
AACGAACGUUGGCGGCGUGGAUGAGGCAUGCAAGUCGAACGCGAAAGCCGCAAGGCGAGUAAAGUGGCGGACGGGCGAGUAACACGUAAUCAAGCUACCUGUGAGACGGGGAUAACUUCGGGAAACCGAAGCUAAGACCCGAUGGCCUUAGGAGACCGCAUGGUUUCCUAAGUAAAUGGGCGGGACCUUUCGGGGUCGGCCUGCUCGCAGAGGUGAUUGCGGCCCACUCAGCUAGUUGGUAGGGGUAAUGGCCUACCAAGGCAACGACGGGUAGCCGGCCUUAGAGGGUGGUCGGCCGCCACUGGGACGUGAGACACUGCCCACGACUCCUACCGGGAGGGCUGCAGUCGAGAAAUCUUCCGUCCAAUAGGGCGGAAAGGACCUCGACGGAGG